rnacentral:rRNA from 1 species
GUGCAUACGCAGAAGCUAGCUUGACUGUGAGGCUGACACGCCAAGCAGGGACGAAAGUCGGAGUAAGUGACCCGCUGUAUUAGCAAUUUAUUGCUUAUGAAAGUGGGAUCGACAGCGCAAACGGACAAAAGUUACCCUAGGGAUAACAGGCUUAUCGGAUCCAAUAGUUCACAUAGACGAUCCGGUUUGGCACCUCGAUGUCGGCUCAUCUCAUCCUGGGGCUGAAGCAUGUCCCAAGGGUCCGGCUGUUCGCCGGUUAAAGAGGUACGUGAGCUGGGUUCAGAACGUAAAUUACAUUGCGUUCUACCACUGUAAAGUGGUAAAAUACUAGUGUACAUCGCACUUAUAGUAUUAAAUCUGACUGAAAUCGGUGAAACCCCACCUGGAUAUUACGAACGAUCCAGAGGGCAAUACCGAGGGAAGAUUAGCAAAAUGUUUGACGAAGUAGCGGCAUAUAUUGCCGGUUUUCUUGAUGGUGAUGGCUCAGUUAUGGCCCAGUUGGUAUAUCGUAAGGAUUACCGGCUUGGUUAUCAGAUACGGGUAAGCAUUGUGUUUUACCAGAAGCAAUCCCAUAAUGAAAUCCUCUUUUGGCUAAAAGAGCAGCUCGUAUUCGGGUAUAUACGUGACCGUAAUGACGGUAUGACGGAAUACACGAUUGUCGGGCAGGAAGAAGUAGCACAGGUUUUAAGCUUACUCCAUCCGAACCUUCGUCUAAAGAAGAAACUUGCUCAAGAUGUUAUGAAGCUCAUCUCGCUCCAUCCUAAAAAGAUGACAGCAGUUAAGCUCAUACGGCUCGCUGAAAUGGUUGAUAAAACAGCUGAAUUUAAUUAUUCAAAGAAACGAACCAAUACAUCAGAAGUAGUAAGGCAAUUCUUGAAAGACAAAGAGCUUUUCCCCGUAGAGACUUCUUGUUAGUUUGCUACUAGCAAGAGAUGGAAGUUGAAAAUAUGACUUUCAUAAAACGUCAGCGCCUUACAUAACCUAUUGUAAGGAUGAAGAUAUAGUCCGUGCCAUCAGUAAUGGUGGAGUAGUUUUAAGUUUGAACAGCUUGAAAUGACACGCGUGAGACAGUUCGGUUUAUAUCCGCUGUGGACGCAAGGAAAUUUGAGGAGAUUUGACUCUAGUACGAGAGGACCGAGUUGAACAUACCGCUGGUGUACCAAUUGUCCUACCAAGGGCAUGGUUGGGUAGCUACGUAUGGAACAGAUAAGCGCUGAAAGCAUAUUAAGCGCGAAACUGACUUCAAGAUAAGAUUUCCCUAUGAGAUCCCUGAAAGACUAUCAGGUUGAUAGGCGCAAGGUGUAAGCACCGCAAGGUGUGUAGCCGAAGCGUACUAAUAGAUCCAUCGACUUU